rnacentral:lncRNA from 1 species
GUACGUGUACACUGAGCUGGUAUUUAUUGGGUCUUAUUAUCAGUACCACUGUUUCAAAACUUUUCUGUAGGGACUAUAUAAAUCAUAAAAGUCUUUAGGAAAAUACAGCAGAGUGGCAGAAUGUCUUCAUUUUUAUCUUUAACAUGGAGGCUAUAAAUUUUUCAUGAGCACUAUCUGUCAAAACUAAAUAAAUAUAUUCUAUUUAUUGAUAUAAGAUGCAUGGAUAUAGCUUUUAAAAGACAUCGGGGGGUGUAAACACAACCAAAGUCACAAUCAUUUUGGGGGGUGUUGACUUUGAUUCACAAAAUCUUCUUAUAGACAACAGAUCCUAUAAAUCCUAAAAUUCCUAAGUUGAGUUUGCCUUGCACAUACUUGACACUCCAAAUUUUGUAAAUGAUCGAUGUGUGUGCAGAGUUAAUACAUUAUACUAACAUUACAUUGUUUGGGGCAGGGUUGUGCUGAAGAAAUUGAGCUCUUCUAAGCCUUAAGAGAGGAGGGGAUGGCAACCCAGUCCAGUAUUCUUGCUUGGAGAAUCCCCAUGGACAGAAGAACCUGGCAGGCUGCAGUCCAUGGGGUUGCAAAGUCAGACACGACUGAGCGACUAAGCACAGUACAAGCCUUAAGAUGGCUUCCCACAUGGCUCAGUGAUAAAUAAUCUGCCUGUCAAUGCAGGAGACACAGAUUUGAUCCCUGGUUGGGAAGAUCCACUGGAGAAGGAAACGGCAACCCACUCCAGUCUUCUUGCCCGGGAAAUCUCAUGGAUAGAAGAGCCUGAUGGGGGAUAGCGCACGGAGUUGCAGAAGAAUCUGAUGCAACUUAGUGAUUAAACAGCAACAACAAGUCUUAAGGAACAGGUGACUUGAACUCAGCAGCCAGAAAAUAUGGGUAGAGAUGUAACUACCAUGUCCGGAAACAGGAAAAAUAUCUAAACAUUUUUUUAGGGUACUGACAUAAAUAUGAAUUUUCAAAUUAUUAGAAGAAAAAGAAAAAAAUGGUGGUAGUCAAAAACAAGAAAUAAAAAAGAGAAAAUAUCAAAAUAAGAGACAAGGUGGACUAUAUUUUGAGAUAAUAAAGAUAUAAACUAAAAGCACAAGUAAUGGUAAUUUUGGAUACAUGAAUGCGGAGU